AGUUCAGGAAGGCGGGACCAAAAAAACGUAAACCCCUAACCUUUAGUCCGAUGGAGCAGCCAUUGAAUAUUACCUUUUCUGCUUUCGAAAGGAAGAAUGAAGGAAGUGCUAUUUUUCCAUAUGCUUCCGGCUCGUCAAAUGAGCCAGAACAAGAAAGGAUAUCCAAUCAUUUUGCUUCUGAGCCGGACGUUGUUUCUCAGCGUCCUAUCAAGAGGGGGAACAAUCCCAGGUGCAGGAGCAAACAGGUCUUGCAAGUUCCUUAAGGCAUCGUCGGCAACACAAGGAAUUAAAAGAUGCAAGAAUAGGAGCUGAGUAUUUGUGACAGAUUCAACUCUCCUCAUCUGUAAUUGUCACUUUUCCUCAUUCUAUUUGA
rnacentral:lncRNA from 1 species